rnacentral:rRNA from 1 species
UACGGGGGGGCAAGCGUUGUUCGGAAUUACUGGGCGUAAAGGGCUCGUAGGCGGCCAACUAAGUCAGACGUGAAAUCCCUCGGCUUAACCGGGGAACUGCAUCUGAUACUGGAUGGCUUGAGUUCGGGAGAGGGAUGCGGAAUUCCAGGGUGUAGCGGUGAAAUGCGUAGAUAAUCUGGAGGAACACCGGUGGCGAAGGCGGCAUCCUGGACCGACACUGACGCUGAGGAGCGAAAGCCAGGGAGCAAACGGG